AUACGUAGGGGGCGAGCGUUGUCCGGAAUUACUGGGUGUAAAGGGCGUGUAGGCGGGGAUGCAAGUUAUCGGUUAAAACCCAAGGCUCAACCUUGGGCUUGCCGGUAAAACUGUAUCUCUUGAGUAUAGGAGAGGGAAGUGGAAUUCCCGGAGUAGCGGUGAAAUGCGUAGAUACCGGGAGGAACACCAGUGGCGAAGGCGGCUUCCUGGCCUAUUACUGACGCUGAGGCGCGAAAGCUAGGGUAGCGAACGGGAUUAGAUACCCCGGUAGUCCUAGCCGUAAACGAUGGUUACUAGGUGUGGUGGUGGUCAAGCCAUCCGUGCCGGAACUAACGCAAUAAGUAACCCACCUGGGGAGUACGGCCGCAAGGUUGAA
rnacentral:rRNA from 1 species